UCGCCCAUUUCAAAUCCAGGCGUCAUCGGUGCUGUCAAUCCAAUAUAAAAAUUGUCUUUAAGUAGCCUGGGAGGCGAGAAGAGGAAGUCAGCAGGAUGGUAAAACCUAAGCCACCGCUAUACGCCGCGCUGAGCCCUAGUGGCUCGGCGAUUGUUAAAAAGUUUAAAAGUUAAAAAUUUUACUGAAUCGAAGUUGCCAGAAGCAGUAACGUAGUGUAAAGCAUCGUUCGGCGAUGAAUUCCCUACUUUCCUCAUUGACAUACAGCUCUAUCACGAUGUUGUCGCAGAACUGAGGGACCUGCCGCUCCACAUCAUUGCAGUCUAGGGUGGAGCGAUUGACCACGGCCCACUUGUCGGUGUUUAGGCCCGGGUUCUGCGACUCCUCACGUCCUCAGGAGGCCGAAGAACUCGAUUAAGGGCUGGCAGGAGUGCGGCGGGCACAUACCAUGGACGGCUGACAUGACCCAUUGGGCUGUUUCCUCAUCCUCGCAGACCACUAGCAUGCUGGAGUCGAACGUCUGCGGAUAGAUACUCAAAUCAGCUGUUCGCUAGCACACUUUUAAAAGCUGUCAACAAGUUUUGUUGCCACUUUUCAAGAUAUAUUAACAUCGAAAACUCGACUUUACGCCAAAAAAAUCGAUUUCUGGACCACAGUUCACUGCGAGUAUUCUUACUCGAACCAAUUCCCACACAAAUAAUGGCGUGCAAGUCGGAGCCAGCAGCAGCGCAGUGGAGCAACUGGUGGAGUGCAAAAAUAGGAAAAUAGGAAUUGCAGAAGGCGGGAUACUUGGCCGCCGUAUGCGAACACAAUGCCCGAGAACCGGCGAUACGGUCUGGUGAUAACAAACCAGAGUUCGGACGCGGACGGUGUGGACACCGUUGCCCUAAUUGUGAACGCCAACCGACGCCGAUGCGUAGAAUGCCGCGCUGUUCUUCUUACUUAUGACGGGGAUUUCAUCUGGCGCUGCUGUUUGCCACCAUAGGCUUCAUACCUCAACCUUAGCUAACAUGGUGCAUACAUGGUACAUACAUACUUUUUAAUACUGUGGGCCUUACGAGUAUCUAUCCGCAGACGUUCGACUCCAGCAUGCUAGUGGUCUGCGAGGAUGAGGAAACAGCCCAAUGGGUCAUGUCAGCCGUCCAUGGUAUGUGCCCGCCGCACUCCUGCCAGCCCUUAAUCGAGUUCUUCGGCCUCCUGAGGACGUGAGGAGUCGCAGAACCCGGGCCUAAACACCGACAAGUGGGCCGUGGUCAAUCGCUCCACCCUAGACUGCAAUGAUGUGGAGCGGCAGGUCCCUCAGUUCUGCGACAACAUCGUGAUAGAGCUGUAUGUCAAUGAGGAAAGUUGGGAAUUCAUCGCCGAACGAUGCUUUAAACUACGUUACUGCUUCUGGCAACAUCGAUUCAGUUUUGAUUGCUAGGACGUUUUUGGGUUUUCCAAAUUAUUUGUUAAUAUUUUUUGGCUAUUUACUCGAAAUAGUAAAAUUUUAUGAAAUUAGAAAAGUAAACGUGAAUAAAAGUUAUUAAAAAAAAAAAUAUGGCGGCUUCGCGGCAACUGCA